rnacentral:lncRNA from 1 species
GAAGAUCUGAAAUUUUGGCCUAGUUUGGUUGUUUAUUGAUCUUGUCAUCAGUAUUGAAGGUGGUGGUAACAAACCAUUGACUUACAGUUUGUCAGCCAAAACAGAGAAUAGUGAUGAAACUUAGAAGGUGGUUGAUGCACCAAGAGGUGAUAACUGAACCGACAGGAUAAAGUGUAGACAGAGAAGGACAUACAUGAUAAACAGUAGUUGGACAAACAAGCCAAAUAAGGUCUAGUCAGAUAGACACACUGAGUUGAGAGUAGUGAAAGAUAUUAAGAAAAAAUACAGGCAGAUAGAAUAAGACAAAGUCUGCUGUCAGUUGGAACAUGAUGGGGGAAUAAUUGAAGAGACAAAGACAAGAGAUUAAUCAGAUUGGGGUGGGGGGAUAUAGUUGUUAUAAAUACAAAUAAUGAGGGACCAUUUGGGUGGAUAAUAGUUGAAUUAGAGGAAUGAAGGUUCAUGACCACAUGAUUAGGGUUUUCAGCUUAUGUAUCAAGUUGUGGGAUUAAUCCCUGGAUCAGACAUCACUUAGUGUCCUUGAGCAAGGCACUUCAUCUUGUGUUAGUCCAGUCUAGUCAGCUGUAAAUGAGUACUGACCAGAUGCUGAUUCAUCUCUCUCCCUCGAUUUGUCACAUCUUGGAUGUGUUGCUAGGCCAAGGGUAAGGGGCCAAAAGAGUGUCUGUGUCUGCCCAUGACUACAUAGAGACCUAAACCAAUUAGCAAAAUCAUGGUAAAUGUUACCAAACCAUAUCCACUUAUGAGUGAUGACUGGUUGUACUGCAUUGGGUGGAUGAGCUGGACAAAACAGGGAGUUGGGCAGACCAACAAAUGAAAAGGGACCAGUUCUACUGAUAGAUAAACUAACUGAUAAUAUAGUAGAUAGUGGAGCAAGGGAAAUAAAAUGUUGGACAGGUAAACAGGAAAACCAAGAAAGGGAUCAAUAAAUAUAAAUUGGACCAAUAAAUAGACAAGAGAGGAAUUACACAGGAAGGGGCUGAUGAAGGUGGGGUUAGUCUGACACAACUGACAAAAUAUCAAAAUUAAAAUGAUAGACAAAGACAAACAACUAAAUUAAGUUGUUGAUGAAAUCCACUAUUCUGCCAGAGUAUCCCUUUGGUUGACUGAAUUUCUGUAUCGUCCUAAACUGUGGUCUAUUUCCUUUUACUUCUGUGCCUUCCCCAUCUAGUUUAACAAUAACAAUGAUGAUGAUGACUGAUGAUGAUAAACAUCACAUUCCUCUCUUAGUAUUUUACUCUUUUCAUGUGGACUGUUUCUCCAUUAUUUAUACUGCAAUUUAUUUUACUUUCCUUAAAUAUUGCUGCUGGUACAACUUACUGCUACUACAACUACUACUACCAAUAAAAUUGCUGCUGCUGUGAUAGAUAUUAUUAGUAUUAGUAUUAUGGUGAGACAUGACAGCCAGGUGAUCGUAGACAACCCUCACAACAACACACACAUACACACAUACUCAGUGUUUUGUCCUGUGCUGUACUUAAUGUUUUUCUUAAUGUAAACUUUUUGUAGUUAAAGAAAUUAUUAUUUUUAAAGUGGUAAACUGGCAAAAUCAUUAGAACAUCAGAAAAAAUGCUUUGUAAUAUUUGUCCUGGUACUUUACAUUCUGAGUUCAAAUUCCUCCUACAACAAUUUUGCCUUUCAUUCCUCUUUAGUUGUGGUAAUCGACUGACCAACUCCCCUUAAAAUUGCUGGCCUUGUGCCUGAAUCAGAAAUUGUUAUUAUUACGUGGAACAGCCAGCUAACAGAAUUGUUAGUGUUCCAAAAAAAAAAUGCCUUGUAGUAUUUGUUCUGACUUUACAUUUUGAGUUCAAGUCCUAUUUAGGUCAGCUUUGCCUUCCAUCUCUUCAGUACUUAAUGAAAUAAACUACUAGUUAAGUAUUGGGUUGAUGUAAUCAACACCCUCCCCCCAAAUUUUUGGACUUGUGCCUAAAUUAGUGUCUAAAUUAGAAACAGCUAUUAUUAUUAUUAUUAUUAUUAAGGUGGUAUCCUAGCAAAAUCGUUUACAUGUUGAACAAAAUGUUAGUGGCAGUUCACCCAUCGCUACAUUCCGAGUUGAAAUUCUGCUGAGGUUGACUUUGCCUUUCAUCCUUUUAGGGUCAGUAAAUUAAAUACCAGCGAAACACUGAGGUGAGUGUAAUCAACUAGUCCCCUCCCCCUAAAUUUCAGGCCUUGUGCCUUUUGUAGAAGGGGUUAUUAUUAUUAUUAAAGCAAUAGAUUGACAGAAUCAGCUGAGUGAUGGGCAAAAGGCUUUGAUCAUAUUUAGUUCUGGGUCUUUAUGUUCUGAGUUCAAAUCCUGCUGAGAUCAACUUUGCCCUUCAUCCCUCAAGAUUCAAUAAAAUAGAGUACCAGUCAAGUACUGGGAUUGAUGCAAUCAACUGUACUCUUCUCUGAAAACUGCUGGCUUACAUUAGAAGCUAUAGGCAUUUCAUCGAUCUCUAUGUUCUGAGUUCAAUUUCUGCUGAAGUUGACUUUACUUUUUACCCUUUCAGGGUCCAUAAAGUAAGUACUAGUUGAGCACUGGGGUCAAUGUAAUUGACUUGCACUCCUCUCUAAAAGUUUCGGGUCUUGUGCCUAUAAUAAAAAGGAUUAUUAUUAUUAUUACAGAACAAUGGAUAAAAUAUUUUGCAUUAUUUAGUUAUGUACCUUGUCCAUUUGAGUUCAAAACACCAUGUUAGUCCACUGAGUUAUUCAAUAUUACUGUGGUUGAUUUAAUCAUCUAUACCGCCUCCACCAUUGUGCCUACAUUAGAUAAAUUUAUUAAUAUUAUCAUUACUCAGAUUUUGGACCAGUAGAAUUGGUAGAUAAAAUGCUUUGCAGUAUUUAUUUUAUCAAACUCAGUACUUGACUAGUACUUAUCAACUCCAGAGGAAUCAGUAAAAUAAUGUACCAGUGACCAUCCUGUUUCCCUCAAAAUUGCUAGCUUUGUGCCUGAAUUAGAAACAACUGUUAUUAUUAAGGUGGCUAACUGGCAGAAUCAUUAGCAUGCUGGGUGAAAUGCUUAGCAGCAUUUCAUCCGUCUACGUUCUGAGUUCAAAUUCUGCUGAGGUUGACUUUACCAUUCAUCCUUUCAGGGUUGAUAAAAUAAGUACCAGUUGAGUACUGGGGGAUCAGUGUAAUCGACUAACCCCCUCCCUCAAAUUUCAGGCUUUGUGCCUAUAUUAGAAAGGAUUAUCAUUAUUAUUAAGGUGGUCCGCUGAAAGAAUUGUUAGCGCACUGGGCAAAAUGCUUAGUGGCAUUUUGUCUGUCUUUACAUUCUGAGUUCAAAUCCUGCUAAGAUCAACUUUACCUGUCAUCCUUUCAAGGUCAUAUGUCCCCCUAACUUGCUGACCUUGUGCCAAAAUUUGAAACUAUUAUUAUUAUUGAUGACACUCACAUAAAACUUGCAGACCACCAUACUAAAAUACUUUAUAUUUAGAUUUCAAGUUUAUCCACAUUCAAAGUUUAAAUUCUGCUAAGAUCAACAUAGCCUUGGUUUCCCCCACCCUUCACAAUCUGGGCUUGGUAAUAAUGUUGACUAAGGUGAAGUAUUUUGUUUACAUUGUUGCAAAUAUGUAUGUAGCAUAUUCGUUAUUAUUGUUAAAGCAAAUGUUUUUUACAACUGGAUGUCUUCCCCAUUCUCUACUGUCAAAACUAUUAUUUGAUGUAGAGAUGGAACCUGUUCUUGCUGUUUCAGACUGAGACAACCUCAGUGCUGUUGCCUUGCUUCAGGGAUUUUCAAAAUAUCAGCUGUUAGUAGUAAGGUUUCUACCUGAUGAUGAUUGUACAAUUGCCUCACAUGAACUGUGCCUCCCUUUACUAACUACUACUAGUAUUAAUUAUCAUUAAUAGUUAUUAAAGCAACAGAAUUAUUGAAACUGGCUAAAUUACUUUGGAGUUACAUUCCUCUGAAUUCAAUUUGAAAUCCCAAGCUAACUUUGACUUUUCAUCUAUUUUUUUUGAGUACCAGUAAUAUACAGGGCUCCAUCCAAUUAACUCUAUCCCUCCACAACAUAUAUAUGACAGUGGUAGUAAUGGUAUAUAUCAUUACUAUUACUAGUAUGUAAAGCAAGAGUUGACCUCAUACCUGACUUCAAUCCCUGGUUGUGCCCUUCUCAUUUUGUUUCUACAGAUUCUUUUUAAAGAGUCUAAGUGUUAAACCUUUCCACUAUGUUCAGUGCGUAAUUUGAAAGUGUUUUAUGAUAUUCCCUUUUUUUUUUAUUUUGUUAUAAAUUUGUGACAACUGACAUAAAGUUUGCCUUUCAUCUUUUCAGAAAUGUAAUGUUCUGACGUACCAGUCACAUUCAAGGGUCAAUUAGAUCAGCUAUACUCUCCCUCUAAAAUUUGUGGCCUUUUACCUAUGUUAGAAAUUAUUAUUAUUAUUAUUAUUAAUAUUUUAUAAGUGUGGUGGAUUAGCAGAAUCGGUAAGUAUGUCAGAUAAAUUGCUUUCUUAAAAAUUCUGAGUUCAAAUCCCACCGAGGUAAACUUUGUCAUUCAUCCUUCUGAGGUUGAUAAAAUAAAAUACCUGUUAAGUCCUGGGGUCAAUUUAAGCAAUUCUUCUUCCUUCCUUAGUGCCUAAGUUGUAAACAGUUAUUAUUAACAGAAAGUUGGAAAUCUGACAGGUCUGUUACAAUGUCAGAAAAAAUGCUUUUGCUGUACUUGUUCCAAUUCUGUUCUGAGUUCAGAUGAAACAUGCUGAAGUUAACUUUACCUUUCACCCUCCACUGUUAAUAAAACAAAGUACAGUCAAAUGGGGCAUUGGUAUUGACUCCCUUCCCUCAAAAUUGUUGGCCCUGUGUCUAAAUCAGAAACGAUUAUUAUUAUUAACAGAGAAGAUUGUCAGAGUUUGUGAAGCACCAGACUAGAUGCCUUACAAUAUUUAAUUUUAUCCCUUUAUUGUUCUGAUUCAAAUCCUGUUGAUGAUUUUUUUUACCUUCCAUCCCACCAUGACUGUUGUAAUGACCAUCAGUAAUGUGCUGAGGGUUAUUUUAAUAAAAAAAUCUUUUGUUUUGUGCCAACAUAGAAAUAUCAUCAUCAUCAUCGUUAAUAAGCACUGUAGUUGAUUUAUUGUCAAAAUUUAGUGAAUUUAGUUUCAAUUCCUAAUUUGGUUUCUUCAGUUUAUUUACUUUUCUUAAGUAUCGUUGUAAAAAGCAUGUCAUCCAUAUCUCCUCUCAAAAAAAAAAAUGUAUAAAUUCUUUCACUUUAGAUCAGUGUUUCCCAACCUGCUUUCUGCCCAGGCCCACUGAUGGUUGGGAAAAAAGUUGUAAUAUGCUUGCUGUAAAGAAAAAGAUUUUUACAAUUCCAUGUCCCACUAAAAAAAAAAAAAAAAAAUGGAUCCCAUUCCCUACCACAAUUUUCCCAGGCUCCACUUUGGAAAUCACUGCUUUAGAUUUACUCUGAAAGAUGUGGCUAGUGGCUUUGGCUGUUGUGCUCACAAUUGUUAGGUCAUGGGUUUGAUUUCAUAUUGCUCCAGUUCGCUAUGAGUGCCAAUGGUUACUUCGAGCUUUGCUCUGUGACUGGCUGGUUUCUUGAGAAAUCUUGUACUCUCAGUCUGAAUACCUUGAAAAUCUAGGUAAGCUCUGGCUUUGUAAACCACCUGCUGGAUUGAGGCAGACUCUAUGUCUACUAAAAAAAUUUACUGCUGUUGCUAAGAUAGAGAAGUGGGCACAGCUGGAGUGGGGAUGCAAUAUUACACUGCUUUAUUUUAAUACUCAAGAUGAAAUAUAUACUAGUGAUACACUGGUAUCAGUUUAGUCAACUAUUUCCACUCUGUUUCUUUCAUAAGUUGGCCUAGUGAGUGCCUCUGAAAGAAUUUACUAUUUGUAAGAAAUAAUUACAAACUGUAUUGAAUUAGUUUUUAAUCAGGAUUGAUGCAAUGACAGAAAUGGUAUAAUGCCAGACUGGAUACCUUACAGUAUUUAUAAUUUCUUCCACCACCAUCACCACCACUAUCCCUUCGAAUUGAUCCUCUGGGAUUGUUGAUAAAGAAAGAGAAAGAAAUAGAUAUCACAAACACAUACACACACAUGUACAGAUGGGGAAGGGGUAAGGGUCAAUCUAAUCAACUCUAAUGUCUCUAAUAAAUUUGUGGCUUUUGGCCAAUGUAAAGAAAGAAAAUCGUUAUCUUUAUUACUCAACUGCUGUUAUAUUUUCCUGUUUCGAAAUUAUUUCCACCUCAAUAAUAUUUUUUUAAACCAUUUUUCUUCCCCACUUCCUCCCUCUCUCGACUUGCUUUCAAAGGUGGCCUUUAGUAUUGGACCUGUUACAUCUAUAAUAAGAUUAUGUGGAUGUGUAUGAAUAUUUAUGCACAUCCGUGUGUGUGCGCGGUUACUAUUCAUAUUGCAAUCAUUGUUAUAAGUGCACUGGAGAUGGUUUGGACUGUGGAGAACUAGUUAGAUGCUCUUUACACUCUCUGGUUCAGUAGUUCUGGGUUCAAAUCAUGCCAACCUUGACUUCACCUUUUAUAGCCCAGUUACUCCUUCCCCUACCAUCACCUUCUUUCAUUGCCUGAUAAAGUGGAGAAAUAUUUACAGAGUAAAUACCUGUAAUUAACAAAGUUAAUAUUAAAUAUAUCUUUCCCUUAAAAUAAUACAGGAAUUUGUGCCUAUGCAAAAAAAAAAACCUAUCAUCAUUGCUAUUAUCAACAUCAUUGUUGUUAUGCCAUACUGUAUUUGUUCCAAUUCUUAGUUCUGAGUUCAGAUCCUACCAAGAUCAACUUUUUGGGGUUAAUAAAAUAAGUACCAGUUAAGUGCCAGGGUUGAUGGUAUUAUUGACUAACCACUACCCAUAAAUUUCAGGUCUUGCACCUAUAUUAGAAACAAUUAUUGUUAUUAUUUGGUAGGAUUGUUAGAGCAUCCUACCAUUGUCAACUUUGCUUUUCAUCCCUCUGGAGUCAAUAUAAUUGACCAACCCCUCCCCCUAAAAUUGCUGGACUUGUGCAAAAGAUUAAAAAUUGUUGCGAGCUGGCAGAAUCGUUAUUGCACUGGGCAAAAUGCUUAGUGGCAUUUCAUGCCUCUACAUUCUGAGUUCAAAUCCCACCAAGGUCAACUUUGCCUUUCAUCCUUUCAGGGUUGAUGUAAUCAACUUACCCCCUCCCCUGAAAUUGCUGGCCUUGUGCCAAAAUUUGAAAUCAUUAUCAUCAUCAUCAUCAUCAAGGCAGCAAGCUGGAAGAAUCAUUAAAUGUGCCAGACAAAUGCCUAUCAACAUUUCUUCCAGUUCUGCAUUCUGAGUUGGAAUGUCAUUGAAGUUACCUUUUGGGGUUGAUGUAAUUGUCUAGCCCUCUUCCCCAAAAUUUCAGGCCUUGUAUCUUUAGUAGAAAGAGUUCUUGUUAUUAUUAUCGUCAUCAGCACGAUGGUGAGUGGCAGAAUCUGUGCUGUGUUAGAGAAAAAUACUUUGUUAUAUCUAUUUCUCAGUUUGGAUUGAAAUGGAAUUUGGUUUUUGUCCCUGCAAAAUUGAUAUAAAAUUGUACCGGUAAUAUUCUAGGAGUUGACUGGAUUGAGUAAAUCCCCUUCCCUUAAAACUAGUAUAUAAACAAAGACAGUAGAAGUUUAUUUUCUGUUUAGUGACUCAAAGUUUUGUGUUCAAAUAACAGCAGAGUAGAAUUUGCAUCUCAUUACCCACCUUCACUUUAUAUAUAUAUAUAUAUAUAUAUAUAUAUAUAUAUACAUAUGCAAUCUAUUUCCAUCAUAUACUGAUCUUUUACCAAGUCAUAAAACAAUUAUUUUAUGUUUUUGUCAACCCUUGUGGUAAAAUAAAGAAAGCAUUUUUAUUAUUAUUGUUAUUAUGGCAACAGAACUAGCUUAAUCAUUAGUAUGUUAGAUAAAAUGCUUACAGCAUUUCUCUUGAGUUCUAAGUUCAAAUACUAUCAACAUCACUUUUGCCUUUCAUCCUUUCAGGAUAAAAUAAGUACCAGUCAAGUAUGGCGAGGUGGGGGUUGAUGCAAUAAGCUUAUAUUCUCUUAAAGUUGCUGACCUUUUGCCAAAAUUUGAAAUAAUUAUUAUCAUUAUUACUGUUAUUAGGACAGUAAAGUGCCAGAAUAGUUUAGCACAUCAGACAAAAUACCUUGUGUUAUUUGUUACAGGUCUAUAUGCUCUAAGUUCAAAUCCUACUGCAACUAACUUUGCUUUUCAUACUUCUGGUGGUCCAUAAAAUAAUGUGUAUCAGUCAAGUACUAUCCCUUUCUCAAGAAUCUAUUUUUGUUUUAGGGUAAGGGAUUGGCAGAAUCAAUAUGCCUUCUGGUAUUUACAUUUUGAAUUCAAAUCCUGUGAAGUUUAACUCUGCCAGCCAUCUUGUUUCCAGAGUUGAUAUAUGAUCAAUUAGCUACUAAGUUCUCAAAUUGACCAAAACUGUGUUUUCUCAUUUCCUCCUCUCCUCCCCCAUCGCAUGUUUAACUUUUUUAUUAUUAAGUCAAUGGCUAUAUCUGCAUUGACAACACCUCUCUAAAUGUAUUACGGUUAUUUUAGCUUCAUUUUUUAGGGUCCCUGCAUUCAGAUGCUUUUCACAAUCCAUUUUAAUCUUCAACAACAAACAACUGUUUUGUUUGCUUAUCAUCAUCAUAAUUAUUUAAUGAAUCUUGUUACAUUUUUUAUUAUACAACAAAUUGCUUUUUCUUUGUCUUUUUUAGUUAUUGAUUUUGGUUUACUUAUAUCUCCACUGUCCCUCUUCCACUUUAAAAAGAUUUUCCCCCUGAAGUCAGUUCUAAGUCCUUUCCAGGGUAACCAUGGCAGUAAGAAUCAUGAAAUAAAAUAAAGGUAUAUGUGAGGGUGGGGUUAUUUUGAUUUUAUUUUUUAUUUAUCCAAGUAAGUUCCUUGGUGAUAUCAGUUUUGGAGUUUAAUACCCACCUAUUUUGUUUGAUUUUAAAGCAACAUGUAGCUGGGUCUUUUUUUUUUUUUUUUUUUUUUUUACCUCCAUAAUUCAGUUUAGUGCCUGUCUCAGUUGGUCGGGAUAUUCUGAGUGUAAUUUAGUGCCUAGCUAAUUUAUUUGGUGUUUUGUUUUGUCACCAUUUUUUAUGUAAACAUUAAAUUUAUACAUUCAAAAGACUUGUAUCCAUAACCUACAGCUACAGAUGACAACAACAACAAUCCCAUCCCCUGCCUCCAUGCAAUAUGUUUGUGAAGGCAGGACAGUUCUUUUCUGGAUAAACUGAAUCAAAUUUGUUUUAUCCCGAAACUCAAUACUUGCAGUAGAUUUGAACUUAAAGUCUUAUAGUUUGUAGUCCAGUGCCUAAUUCAUUUAAGCAUUUCAACAUUUUUAUUAUAUUUUAUUGAAUCUGAAAUAUCAAUGAAGCUGUUGUAAAUCUUUAUUAGUGUGUCUUCUUAUAGUCAUAAUCAUAGAUAUUAUUAUAGUUAGGGCAAUGGAUUGAUAGAAUUGGUAAAACUUUGGCCAAAAUUUUUUGGGGUAUUUCUUCGAACAUUGCAUCCUGGGUACAAAUCCUGCCAUGGUCAGCAUUGCUCUUCUAUUCCACUGGAUUCGAUGUAAAUUGACUAACCUCAUCUUCCAAUUUUCAAGCCUUGUGCCUAUUUUUAACAAUUUUCAAGUGGUGAAUUUGCAGAAUCAUUAGAGUGUUGGAGGAAUAAUGUCAUGCAUUAUUUGUUUCAGCCCUUUACGUUCUUAUUUUAAAUCCCACCAAGGUUGACUUUGCCCUUCAUCCUCUCGGGGUCAAUAAAAUAAGUACCAGUUGAGCACUGGGGUUGAUGUAAUCAACUUACAUCUUCCCUUGGAAUUGCUGUCCUUGAGCCAAAAUUUGAAACCACCACCACCACCACCAUCAUCAUCAUGAGGGCUGUAGAUAUGCAGAAUUGUUAGAGCAGACAAAAUAUUUUGGAGGAUUUAGUUAUUGUCCUUUACAUUAUGACGUCAACUUUUGAGUAUUAUUCUUGAUAAAAUAAAGUACCAGUGUCAUACAAGGGUUGAUAUCUUUAUAUAUCCCACUGCCCCAAUAAUUUCAAGUCAUGUACACUAUGUUAGAUAUAGUUAUUACUAUUGCUAAGAUGAAGUGGCAUAUUGAGAACUAGAGGUAAUGUCUUAGUAACUUGGUUUCAAUUUUCACUUGUUUGAAAUAAUAGCAUUUCACUAAAUAUCCAUAGUAAAAACUAUAACUUGACAACUUUCAUUUCAAAUUCCAUUUCACUCUGAUCCUCACCAUUUUUUUUCCAAAUCUCAUGCAUCUCUGUCUUUGCCAAUACAAACAUCAUCAUCAUCGAAACCACAUUGCCUUUCAUCCUUUCUGGGUCUAUAAAAUAAAGUCAAUUUCAUUAACUAACCCUCCUACCCUCAUAUUUUGGCCUUAGAAAAAGUUAUUUAAGGGCAGUGAAUUGGCAGAAUUGUUAGAAUAAUUUACAUGUGGUAUUUCUUCUAGCUCUAUGUUUUGAGUUCAAAUCCUGCCAUGAUCAACUUUGCUUUCCAUCCCUUUAGGGUUAAUUCAAUUGACUAUUUCUUUCUUCCAAAUUUCAGGCCUUGCACCUAUGUUAGAAACUAUUAUCAUAAACAUUACGUACACUGCCACCAACAUUUUAGUGUUGGCUGGUGUAGCAGAUGUAAAACUAGAGAGAUAUCAUUUCCUCCCCUGUUUGAUCUACAGCCAGGGUGGGUGGGAAAUCCAAGUAAAUCUGACUCUAUUAUUACUUCCAUUUCAUCACUCUUUUGGGAACAAAUGUAAGGAUUCCAUUUUUUUGAUUACUUUCCCACCUUUUAUUGUGGGCUUUGUGUGCAUGUGUGAGUGUAUACAAACAUAUAUACACACAUUAACUGACAAGCAGGCACUUAUGAAAUAAACACACACACACACAUGACAUGUAUGUUUGGAUAUAAGGACAUUGAAAGUAAUUUUUUAAUGUUUUUCCUUUUCAAAUUUUUAAAAUUUCCUAAAAAAAAAGUUCCUUAAAUUGUCUUUGGGUUGAUCUAUACCAAUGAUUACCAUCUGUAUAGCAGGUUUCCUCACCCAUGUGUUUUAUAUGUAUGUGUAUAUGUGUUUGUGUGUGUAUAUAUAUAUAUAUAUGCACACAUAUCUAUGUAUAUAUAUAUUUACACACACAUCCUUACAUGCAUGUGUGUGUGUGUGUGUGCAUAUAAACUGAGCAGAAGACAAGAAAUGGCUGGGGAGUUUAAUGAUGUGGAAAUAAAAUUUUAAACUAUCAGUUUAAAAAAGAACUAGUAAAUAUUCUUCUGGUCUCUGGUAGUUUAAAAAAAAAAUUAUUGUUAUUAUUGUUAUACAGUGGCCUUCAGCCAACUUCAAGUGUGAAAUUCAUUAUUAAUGUUGCCUUGUGCCUAGUCAGAAGAAAAUAUUUCUAUUAUUAUUAUUAUUAUUAUUAAGGUGGUGAGCUGGCAGAAUCAUUACCAUGCUGGGAAAAAUGCUUCGUAACAUUUCUUCUGGCUUCAUGUUCUGAGUCCAGGUACCACCAGGGUCAACUUUGCCUUUUAUCCUUAUAAGUACCAGUUGGACACUGGGGCCAAUGUAAUCAGCUUAUCCCCUCCCCUGAAAUUGCUGGCUUUGUGCCAAAAUUUGAAACCAUUAUUACUUAUAGGCAAUGGACUAGCAGAAUCAGUGGAGUAUUGGACAAUACCUUGUUCUAUCUUUUUUAUGUUCUUAGUUCAAAUUUCACAAAAGUCAACUUUGCCUUUCAUCCUUCUGGGGGUCAAUAAAAUAAAGUACUAGUCAAGAACAGGGGUUGAUUUCAUCGACUUUUCUCUUCCCUCAUAUUUCUGGCCUUGUACCAAUAAUAGAAACAAUUAUACUUUUUUUUUCCACACACUGUGUCUUUGGUGAAACACAAGAAUGGUUGAUCUGUAUGUAUACGUGAGUGAGGAGGGCAGAGGGUGGUUAUUUAGUGACCUGCUCAACCAAGCUGAUUGUAUAAUGUGAAUCUAGCUUUUUUUUUUUGUGUGUGUGUGUGUAUGUUGUUUUAUCUCCAUAUCAUCUCUUGAGAUUGGUACCAGCGAUGCCUUAAGGGGCUACUUAUGGUGUGCAGCCAGCUGUGCACAGCAGACAUAAGUAUGUAUACAUCUCUAUCUCUAUUACUUUAUUACCUGUGUAAAAAAAAAUUAUUAUUCCUUCUUGGGCUCUUCAAUGCAGGUGCAUUUAUUGCAUUUUUGAUAUGUUUGUCAUUACAUGUAGAUAUGCACACAUACAUUACAUAUAGUUAAGUAUACAUAUGUAUACACACACAAACACACGUUUUGACCUAAAUUCCUGCAGCAUAUGUAAAUAGAUUAAAUUAAUGGGAGAGCCCAUAUAUAUAUAUAUAUAUAUGAUGGUUCUCUCGUUAAUAUGAACAUUCAGUUGUUUGAUCGAUUGGAUGAGUAGUCAUUGAAUCAUCAUCAUGGCUGAGUAUUAUACAGACAAUUGUACCCUUAGCAUGACAUGAGUGAUACAAGGUUGAACCAUUGAAUUACAGGUACAAUCAAUCCAACAGGCUUUUACAUAGUUUCCAUCAGCUUAAAUUCACUCCCAAGUUUGGGGUGAAGCUGAGAUAUGAAAGCCACUAGCCUAAGAUUGAUCUCAUGGUUGUAAAGCGAACUUCUCAGUCACUCAGCCAUAUCUGCAUCCAUAAUAUAUGUAUUCAUUCCAUUCUGCUGUUUUCAAUCCACUAUGAGUGAAGAUUCAGUAUGCCAUUGUGAGUUGUCUAUGCUAGUUAUAGGCCUACCUAUCCACACCAGGUUGAAUGGGAUGCUCCCCAAGCCAAGUGAUUAGAGCCACUGGCAUCUGAUUCAAUAUAUAUGCUAACAUAAACACAUACAAAUAUCAAACAUCUUCCAGACUUUGUUUAUCAAUUGUAAUGAGCACUUUGACAUUUAUUUCUGCAAGCACCUACCUUUUUGGCAUAGUACUAAGCUAUUAGUAGACCUACUCAUAUUUAUAAUUAGUAUCCACCUACUAUUAGUUGACAAAGAUACUACUGUAGUCAAUAAACCCUUUUAUAUCAUGCUGAGUUUAUUUUAAUGAAACUUAGAUAAAACCUUUGCGAAUAUCUUCGAAAAUUUUGCAUAAGUCUAUGUAUGUACAUGAAAUGUGUGUGUGUAGAAGAGAGAGAGAGGGAGAGAUGUGAUUUAGGAUGUGCUUGUGCAUAUGCAUUUGUGUGUGCGUGCAUGUGUGUGUGUGUGUAUAUGUAUGUAUAUACACACAUACAUGGCUAUGUCUGCUGAAACUUGACUGUUUUUAAGUAACAGCACAUUAGUGUACCCAUUCUCUAAGUACAUAAACCAUAUCAGGGUACUCUAUUGUAACUAGUUCACCAUGUAGGAGUAACCCCUCAAUAUUGAAAUAACCUAGCUUUCCUCCCCCUCCUGCCUACCUGCUCACCCCUCUCUCCAUAGAUGGGCAUAUUCAUAAAAAGUCAACCAACUGACCAUAGUAGAAACUCUCAGCAUCGCUUGUGUCCUUCAUUGCGGUGUGUGACAGCAACAGGAGCACCGAGUACUUAAUUACUCACUCUUCCCUAACUCUGACGGGUUGAGGUGAGAGCUGAUAGCUCACAUCCAAAUGAAAUGUAAGAAUUGGGGUACAACACUUCAAUUGUUUGAGGUUUGUGCCUUAAUUUAUAUAUAUAUAUAUAAAUAUAUAUACACACAAUUGUUUCCAAAAUUUAUUCAAAUACACAAGCAUACACUCUCACAAACAAAUACAUCUAUGCAGUUUCUUCACGUCACAUCAUGUGUACUCCGGACAUGCGUAUUUAUGAUACAAAUAUGUGUACAUUACACAUUGGCAGAACCUUUUUAAACAAUUUUUUUUUUUAAGUUUUUUUAUAUAUACAUUCAUAUAUAUAUGCACACACACAUAUAUAUAUUAGCAUGACACCUUUCAGAAUGUACACUUUGUAGCCCAGCUGUAAGCUGCACACUAGCUGACGUACACUAAGCAUGCAUUGGCAUGUGUGUGCAACCCAUGUGUUUUUUUAAAAUCCUUUUUACAUUUUAUCAAUAUAAUUACUUUGUAAUUGUUUUGAAUAAACAUUCAUUUCAAUACAAUUUAA